rnacentral:lncRNA from 10 species
GGCUGGAGUGCAGUGGGGCGAUCUCGGCUCACUGCAACCUCUGCCUCCUGGGUUCAAGUGAUUCUCCUGCCUCAGCCUCCCAAGUAGCGGGGACUACAGCACUGCAAUGAAUGCUGCUGCACACGCUGUUGAGCUCGUGGACACUUUCCUGCUGGGUGAGGACCCGAACGUGAAAUUGCUGGGUCAUGGAUUCAAGUGCUACACAUAUUUUUGACCACAUUACUGUGACUCAGGAAGCCCAGGAACAGAAUUCUAGGCACCAGAACCAUACAUGUUACAGCCUCUGAGCUUUAUGGCCUCUGAGCCAUUUGUCCAGCCACAUCAUUUGCAGAUGAGAUCCUGAGACUCAGGCUGGAAAAGUGACCGGGGAAAAGUCACACAAGUCAGAGGCAGAGCUGGAGUUUCCUCAUUUCCAGGCCCGUAUAGAUCAAGACGGACGUUGGUCAAACACCUCCUAGUACUCACAUGAAGAAGCUCUCCUUUCUGCUGUAGGAAUGAUCACACACCAUUCCAAUCUGGAUACCAAAUGUCAUUGUUUAUUAAAUGUGUGCAGUGUGCCAGGCAUAUUGUGUCAUAUGUUUACAUGUGUCAUAUAUUUACAUUACAUAUGAUCGCUGGUUCUUACAACAACCCUUCAAGACAGGUCAUAUCAAGCCCAUUUUUCAGACGGGAAAAAGAGCUCAGAGGGGAUGAUUAGCUUGUUCAGGUUUUCCAGUUUCCUUAGGAAGUGGCAGAGCUGGAUCUGAACUCUGCUUGUGACUACUUGGGGGAUGGAGGAGUGAACUCCUUUUUAUCAGAUCCUGGCUGCUUCGGCACCAGAAGAAUGCUUCUUCCCCCUCAGGCCCUGGGGGGUUCCUCUAAAGAAUAGAGACUCCCGGCUUUCCAUGAGACAAAAAGCAGGCAAUUCAACACGGCAAGCCCUUAAUAUACCUGCACGUUUCUCUGUAAGGACUGAUUUAGAAAGCGGACUCACAGCCACUGCACUGAUAGCAGUUUCUAUUCUAAAACCUAUGGAAAUUGUGAACACUUGCCCCCAAAAACUCUCCCAGAAACCUUUAGGACAGUGAGGCUGUGUUCAGAAACUAAUUGCACCCAUAUCUGAGGAGCUACCACAUGAACUUCAUUAUUCACAGAA